rnacentral:rRNA from 1 species
UACGUAGGGCGCGAGCGUUGUCCGGAAUUAUUGGGCGUAAAGAGCUCGUAGGCGGCCUGUUGCGUCCGCUGUGAAAUCCCAGGGCUCAACCCUGGGCGUGCAGUGGAUACGGGCAGGCUGGAGGCAGGCAGGGGAGAACGGAAUUCCCGGUGUAGCGGUGAAAUGCGCAGAUAUCGGGAGGAACACCGGUGGCGAAAGCGGCUCACUGGACCACAACUGACGCUGAGGCGCGAAAGCUAGGGGAGCAAACAGG